ACUCCUACGGGAGGCAGCAGUGGGGAAUAUUGCACAAUGGGCGAAAGCCUGAUGCAGCGACGCCGCGUGAGGGAUGACGGCCUUCGGGUUGUAAACCUCUUUCAGUAGGGAAGAAGCGAAAGUGACGGUACCUGCAGAAGAAGCACCGGCUAACUACGUGCCAGCAGCCGCGGUAAUACGUAGGGUGCGAGCGUUAUCCGGAAUUAUUGGGCGUAAAGAGCUCGUAGGCGGUUUGUCGCGUCUGUCGUGAAAGUCCGGGGCUUAACCCCGGAUCUGCGGUGGGUACGGGCAGACUAGAGUGCAGUAGGGGAGACUGGAAUUCCUGGUGUAGCGGUGGAAUGCGCAGAUAUCAGGAGGAACACCGAUGGCGAAGGCAGGUCUCUGGGCUGUAACUGACGCUGAGGAGCGAAAGCAUGGGGAGCGAACAGGAUUAGAUACCCUGGUAGUCCAUGCCGUAAACGUUGGGCACUAGGUGUGGGGAACAUUCCACGUUUUCCGCGCCGCAGCUAACGCAUUAAGU
rnacentral:rRNA from 1 species